rnacentral:rRNA from 1 species
GACGAACGCUGGCGGCGUGCUUAACACAUGCAAGUCGAACGGAAAGGCCCUGCUUUUGUGGGGUGCUCGAGUGGCGAACGGGUGAGUAACACGUGAGUAACCUGCCCUUGACUUUGGGAUAACUUCAGGAAACUGGGGCUAAUACCGGAUAGGAGCUCCUGCUGCAUGGUGGGGGUUGGAAAGUUUCGGCGGUUGGGGAUGGACUCGCGGCUUAUCAGCUUGUUGGUGGGGUAGUGGCUUACCAAGGCUUUGACGGGUAGCCGGCCUGAGAGGGUGACCGGCCACAUUGGGACUGAGGUACGGCCCAGACUCCUACGGGAGGCAGCAGUGGGGAAUAUUGCAUAAUGGGCGGAAGCCUGAUGCAGCAACGCCGCGUGCGGGAUGACGGCCUUCGGGUUGUAAACCGCUUUCGCCUGUGACGAAGCGUGAGUGACGGUAAUGGGUAAAGAAGCACCGGCUAACUACGUG